rnacentral:siRNA from 1 species
CUGGUAAACCAGCGAGUGCAAUA